rnacentral:lncRNA from 1 species
UGGCUGUCAAGAAUCAUUGGCCUCUGUUUCAACUUGAUGUUAAUAAUGCUUUUCUACAUGGUGAUUUGGAUGAGGAAGUCUAUAUGAAACUUCCCCCAUGUUUGACAGUCUCUGCUCCUCUUUCUGGCUCUGUUUCUUCUACAUCUUCUAUUCCUUCUCCUCUGAUUUGUAAGUUCAAGAAAUCCAUAUAUGGGCUGAGACAAGCAUCCAUACAAUGGUAUGCCAAAUUGUCUUCUGCUCUUUACUCCAGAGGGUACACACAUUCUUUGAAUGAUUAUUCUCUGUUCAUCAAAGGUAAACCUGGGGCCCUUGUGGUUGUGGUAGUCUAUGUGGAUGAUAUUAUUAUUACAGGGGAUGACAGUGAUGAAAUUACUGCCCUUGAACUGUUUCUGGAUGAUCAGUUUAAAAUCAAAGACCUAGGGUCUUUGCAUUAUUAAAAUUACUGCCCUUAAACUGUUUCUGGAUGAUCAGGUUAAGAUCAAAGACCUAGGGUCUUUGCAUUAUUUUUUGGGCCUUAAUUCAUAGCAAAAGACUGAUUUCACAACAAAAGCUUGUGGGAUUACUCUAUGAUAGAAAGAAAAUGAUAGAAAAAGGAGAAAAAAACAGAAAAUAUUUGCAGGAACUUCUCUUUUCUCUUGGAGCUUUUCUCUUGGAGUCUAUAUAGUUAUAUUUGAGUUGGGCGCUUUAUGUUUAUCUUAGGCCUAAUUUGUUUGUAGUUGAUGUAGGUCUAAAUCUUAAUUAUUCAGAUAUC